UACGUAGGGUGCGAGCGUUGUCCGGAAUUAUUGGGCGUAAAGAGCUUGUAGGCGGUCUGUCGCGUCUGCUGUGAAAAUCCGGGGCUCAACCCCGGACUUGCAGUGGGUACGGGCAGACUAGAGUGUGGUAGGGGAGACUGGAAUUCCUGGUGUAGCGGUGCAAUGCGCAGAUAUCAGGAGGAACACCGAUGGCGAAGGCAGGUCUCUGGGCCACUACUGACGCUGAGAAGCGAAAGCAUGGGGAGCGAACAGG
rnacentral:rRNA from 1 species